CUGUCUAUACAGGGAGUGCAGAAUUAUUAGGCAAAUGAGUAUUUUGACCACAUCAUCCUCUUUAUGCAUGUUGUCUUACUCCAAGCUGUAUAGGCUCGAAAGCCUACUACCAAUUAAGCAUAUUAGGUGAUGUGCAUCUCUGUAAUGAGAAGGGGUGUGGUCUAAUGACAUCAACACCCUAUAUCAGGUGUGCAUAAUUAUUAGGCAAC